CGCCGCGCCGCGCGCCGCCGCCGCCCCUGCCCUGCCGCAGCGCGCCGCAGUCCGGCCUCCCCGCCCGGCGCCGGGAAGGCUGGCGGGCGGCCUCGUCACGUGUCCUCGGCGAUCGCCGAACAGUUCCGGGGGUGAGGAGUCCUUUCCAAAUAUAAGAGGAAUAAAGAAGUCACUUCCCCAGCUGUCAUCAUCUGCCAACACACUGAGCAAGAAUAUUUCAAGCACUACAGAAAAGACAGUCCAUCAAACCCUAGAAGAUGAUCGGCCAUCUGAUUUUUUCAAGAAAGGGAAUAGGGUGACGAAAUCUCAUCAGAAAAGCAGCAGGAGAUGAAAUUCCUGUAGGAGAGACGUCCUCCCGGUGCCAGAAAGAAAGAGACAUUCUUUCCGUCGGGGAUGAGAAGCGGUGACUGAGAAGAAUUCUGCACAGAUUUUGUUAAAAGGCUCUUGUCAUCCUUAGUCUCCCCACAUAGCCGAGGACGUUUUCUACAACUGCCUCUCCUUGUUCAACCUAUUAGCAAAGCCAGUGACUCCCACCAUUUCUCCGGGCCCCCAUUCCUUCUCAAGGCCCCCGCGUCUUGCAGAACUGGGAUUCCACAGUCGGUCUGCUUUUUUCUCCUGUUGAUCUUACGUCGGCUUAAUUCUCAGCACCAGCCGAAAAGGACCCAAAGAGGGUGCAGGGGAGCAGUUUGCCACCCCAAAAUAUUUUUAAGGGACAGCACAGCCACAGGAAAAGCUCUGAAAGCGGAGUGUAAGAGAUGCACAGGGGAGAUCCCCGUGUGUUGGGGCGUGUCUCCCUCUCUGUACCAGGAAGAGGAAGAGGA